rnacentral:rRNA from 1 species
UCAAACCCACGCGCGUAAUGAAAGUGAACGGAGGUGAGAACCCUCGAGGGCGCAUCAUCGACCGAUCCAGAUGUCUUCGGAUGGAUUUGAGUAGGAGCAUAGCUGUUGGGACCCGAAAGAUGGUGAACUAUGCCUGAAUAGGGUGAAGCCAGAGGAAACUCUGGUGGAGGCUCGCAGCGGUUCUGACGUGCAAAUCGAUCGUCAAAUUUGGGUAUAGGGGCGAAAGACUAAUCGAACCAUCUACACCGGUCCUUCUGGAUGGUUCCGUCGGGACCCCCGUACGGAGGUCCCGAGUAGUCCCCUUUCCGGGGGGGCGACAUUGCCAGUCUUCGGGUCCGCCUUCGGGCCACCCGCAGCGGGUNCCGCCGGGGCUCCGUUCACGAGACUAAACAGCAAUGGCCGCGCCCGAGGCGGGGUUCAAAGAUAGCCGAUGCCCU